UACAGAGGUCUCAAGCGUUGUUCGGAUUCAUUGGGCGUAAAGGGUGUGUAGGUGGCGCGCUAAGUCGGGUGUGAAAUUUCGGAGCUUAACUCCGAAACUGCAUUCGAUACUGGCGUGCUUGAGGACUGGAGAGGAGAUUGGAAUUUACGGUGUAGCAGUGAAAUGCGUAGAUAUCGUAAGGAAGACCAGUGGCGAAGGCGAAUCUCUGGACAGUUACUGACACUGAGGCACGAAGGCCAGGGGAGCAAACGGG
rnacentral:rRNA from 1 species